UCGGGUGCGAACGUUUCUUCCACAACGCACUCCCUGUACUUCGGUCAUAACAAACAAUAUUAAAAAUAUUAUAAAGUAUAACCAAAGUGAUAACAUACAGAAUAACAUUUUUUCCGAAGGGCAAACUUGUCGUGCCUUAUUUGAAAGUUUUGAAUAUUGCAUGAGGCGCGAAAGCUCUGUGGAAAGCGUUUCGUAAACUUUGUGUUUUCUUAUGGAAGACGGCGGCGUGCAACAAAAGUGUGUCCAGUUGAAGUGAACAAUUGACGAAAUGUAAUGAGUUAAUGUUAUCGAUUGAAAUGGAUAGGCGAGUAGACGACAGUAGAUUCCGAGCAACGGCGCCACAAGAACCAGGGACUUCGCCAUCGUGGGAGCAGUUUGUGCGGGAGUCAUUAGUGCAGGCGGCGUGGCCGGUCGCUCUAGUGGCGCCACCUAGGAGAGCCCUCACCGUGGA